AGCUGAAGCAUGUGUUGGAAAUGGUCCAGUUGGAGAGUGGGGAAUUAGAGGGUGUGAAGCUUCAGCAUAACCAGAAACUGGACCAGCUAGAGAAGAGCCAGGAAACUCUGCUGCAGGUCAGUCCUAAACAUUUAACUUUUAGCUCUAUUGUCUGUGCUUAUGUUUAAUGUGAGAAAUUAACAUUGUAUUAUCUGCUGCUCAGGUGCGUGGGGAACUGCAGCGUGUGCAGCAGGAGCUACAGGAGCAGCGUGGGGAGGCUGAGAGUCAGAUGAACCUGCUGGAGAAAGAGAGAGCCGAGCUGCACUCCCUCCAACAGAAGAGCCUCGACCUGCAGCAGCAAACAGACACAGCAGUCCAAGAGAGGAGCAGCCUGCAGGAACAGUGUAGAAACCUGGAGGCCAGACGGACACACGCUCAGAGGUGUUUGGAAGCAACGGAGACGAGGGCGAGGGCGGCAGAAACAGAGCUGCUUAGACUACAGACUGAGCUGGACAAACUACAACAGGACCAGAAACGCGCACACGACCUGCAUCAGGAGAUCAGCAGAGACACAGCAGCCUUGCAGCAGCAGCAUGAGGAGGAGUCGAGCAGAUUGAAGAAACAGCUGGUGGAAUCCCAAACUCAGUUAGAUGAGAUCAGAGAGGAGGUGAAGGCUGCAAGAAGACAGCGGGAAGAGCUUGUGAAGCAACAGAAGGAGCAAAAGGCCGAACUGCAGGAGAAAGAGGAGAAGAUCAGGAGGAGACAACAGAAGCUGGACAGACUGGGCCAACAGCUGCAGGAGCUCAAGGCAGAAGUGGUUAUGAAACAGACAAGGCUUGAAGAACAAGAAAAGCUGGUGAGGGUGCAGCAGCAGGAGAGCACUGAUCUGGAGCUGCAGCACAGGCUGAGGCAGAAGAAGUUGCAGUCCCAGCUGCAGGCAGUAGAGAGCGCUCUGGCCCUUAGGCUGGAGCAGAUGGAGCAGGCCAGAGCUGCAGAAAUGGACCUGCAGAGGGAGCGCAAACAGUGCACUGCAUUACAAGAGCAGGUGGAUAAACUAGGUGAGCUGCAUGAGCAACAUUACCAUGCGUUCCCUUACAUUUAG
rnacentral:lncRNA from 12 species